AUUGAACGCUGGCGGCAGGCUUAACACAUGCAAGUCGAGCGGAGAUGAGGUGCUUGCACCUUAUCUUAGCGGCGGACGGGUGAGUAAUGCUUAGGAAUCUGCCUAUUAGUGGGGGACAACAUUCCGAAAGGAAUGCUAAUACCGCAUACGUCCUACGGGAGAAAGCAGGGGAUCUUCGGACCUUGCGCUAAUAGAUGAGCCUAAGUCGGAUUAGCUAGUUGGUGGGGUAAAGGCCUACCAAGGCGACGAUCUGUAGCGGGUCUGAGAGGAUGAUCCGCCCCACUGGGACUGAGACGCGGCCCAGACUCCUACGGGAGGCAGCAGUGGGGAAUAUUGGACAAUGGGGGGAACCCUGAUCCAGCCAUGCCGCGUGUGUGAAGAAGGCCUUAUGGUUGUAAGGCACUUUAAGCGAGGAGGAGGCUACUGAGACUAAUACUCUUGGAUAGUGGACGUUACUCGCAGAAUAAGCACCGGCUAACUCUGUGCCAGCAGCCGCCGCAGUAA
rnacentral:rRNA from 1 species